GGAUGAGUGCCCGAGUGGUUAAGGGGAGGGCCUUAAGAUCCCUUGGUCAUCGACCGCGCGCGUUCGAACCGCGUCUCAUCCA
rfam:Aspergillus wentii DTO 134E9 unplaced genomic scaffold ASPWEscaffold_3, whole genome shotgun sequence.